rnacentral:rRNA from 1 species
UACGGAGGGUGCAAGCGUUGCUCGGAUUUAUUGGGCGUAAAGGGUAUGUAGGUGGUCUUAUUUGUCUAGGGUGAAAUCCUUGAGCUUAACUCGAGAAGUGCCCUAGAAACGGUAAGACUAGAGUCCUGGAGAGGGUCGUGGAAUUCCAGGUGUAGCGGUGAAAUGCGUAGAUAUCUGGAGGAACACCGGUGGUGUAAACGGCUGUCUGGACCAUUACUGACGCUGAUGCACGAAGGCGUGGGUAGCAAACAGG